rnacentral:lncRNA from 1 species
GAAAAAGCUCAGUGUUUCCUUCAAGCUGCAUCGUGGACAGAUUCCUGCCAGACCCUUCAGAGCAAGCACCCCGCACCCCUGGCCCAGGGUCUGUUCCCUGAUAGGGGGUGAUCUGUCUGCCCCUCACUGUUUUCUCCAAAUAGCAUCUCCAAAUGGACUGGACUCCGCAAGCAAGCACUCUGCAGUGGACCCCUUGGGUCAUCCAUUCUGAUGGAAACAGUGAGUGGAAUUAAUCCUAAGUCUGUGAAUUUGGGCAGCUCAUCGACUCUCUCAGCUUUAUCCUCACCGGCUCAAGCCUUCUCCACAGCCCAGCCACGUGAGGGAGUCGUCAGCACUGGAACCCACGGUCCACGGCCUCGGAGGAUCCGGACCCCCUCUGCAUUUGAGGAACUUGGCCUCCAGUCAGGGAGCCAAGAAGUCCCUGCCAAUCAAGGAGGGGGUGUGGGCUGGUGGGGGAGGCAGCCUUGGGGCAUGGGAGCUAAUAGACCAAGCUUGAGGGUUCUACUCCUGACUUCUGGAUUUUUCCACCUCUGUAUGGAAUAUGUUCCUUCUGUCUAACACUGUGUGAUUUGGGGACCAUCCAACUCAAAUGAAAGAAGCCAAGCCAUGCAGUGAGCCACCCCCUCCCCAAUGUGGGGUGCCCUCUGCCCCCCGCCCAGCUCCCCUGCCCUCCCAGCUGAGGGAGGAUCGCCGCCUGGUGAUCUCAGCCUCCCCUCCGAGUGGGCUGUGAAGUGUCUAAUCCAGGCUUUCAUCUGGCAUCCACAAUUAUAAUGUCAAGAUUGAAUAAUCUGCCUUUAUCUCCCGGGUGACAGCCAUGUAGAAACUUCAAAAGAAACAGUUUUGCUGGCAUCUAACGGCUUUUGUUAAUUACUAUAUCCCAAAGAAAAUGAAAUAAAGGAGGGAGAAAAAU